GAUGAACGCUGGCGGCGUGCCUAAUACAUGCAAGUCGAGCGAACAGACGAGGAGCUUGCUCCUCUGACGUUAGCGGCGGACGGGUGAGUAACACGUGGAUAACCUACCUAUAAGACUGGGAUAACUUCGGGAAACCGGAGCUAAUACCGGAUAAUAUCUUGAACCGCAUGGUUCAAUAGUGAAAGACGGUUUUGCUGUCACUUAUAGAUGGAUCCGCGCCGCAUUAGCUAGUUGGUAAGGUAACGGCUUACCAAGGCAACGAUGCGUAGCCGACCUGAGAGGGUGAUCGGCCACACUGGAACUGGGACACGGUCCAGACUCCUGCGGGAGGCAGCAGUAGGGAAUCUUCCGCAGUGGGCGAAAGCCUGACGGAGCAACGCCGCGUGAGUGAUGAAGGUCUUCGGAUCGUAAAACUCUGUUAUUAGGGAAGAACAAAUGUGUAAGUAACUAUGCACGUAUUGACGGUACCUAAUCAGAAAGCCACGGCUAACUACGUG
rnacentral:rRNA from 1 species